rnacentral:rRNA from 1 species
CGUUGUGAAGAAGGCUUAUGGUUGUAAAGCACUUUAAGCGAGGAGGAGGCUACUUUAGAUAAUACCUAGAGAUAGUGGACGUUACUCGCAGAAUAAGCACCGGCUAACUCUGUGCCAGCAGCCGCGGUAAUACAGAGGGUGCAAGCGUUAAUCGGAUUUACUGGGCGUAAAGCGCGCGUAGGCGGCUAAUUAAGUCAAAUGUGAAAUCCCCGAGCUUAACUUGGGAAUUGCAUUCGAUACUGGUUAGCUAGAGUGUGGGAGAGGAUGGUAGAAUUCCAGGUGUAGCGGUGAAAUGCGUAGAGAUCUGGAGGAAUACCGAUGGCGAAGGCAGCCAUCUGGCCUAACACUGACGCUGAGGUGCGAAAGCAUGGGGAGCAAACAGGAUUAGAUACCCUGGUAGUCCAUGCCGUAAACGAUGUCUACUAGCCGUUGGGGCCUUUGAGGCUUUAGUGGCGCAGCUAACGCGAUAAGUAGACCGCCUGGGGAGUACGGUCGCAAGACUAAAACUCAAAUGAAUUGACGGGGGCCCGCACAAGCGGUGGAGCAUGUGGUUUAAUUCGAUGCAACGCGAAGAACCUUACCUGGCCUUGACAUACUAGAAACUUUCCAGAGAUGGAUUGGUG